UUCCCUCCUCUCUCUCUAUCUUAAAGGAAAAAAAAUAAAAAAAAAUUCAAAGCUAAGCGAGAGAAUUCAUUAGUUUUUGAAAAAAGAUUUAAGAGAAAAAAUCGAUUUUGAUUCGAUUAGUCACCAUCAGAUCCCACCUCCACCAGCGAUUGCCAUGUACUCAACAUCCACUGCUCAAUCCCUUCCUCUCCUCGCCUUUAUUUCCCUCCUUCUCCUCUCUCCUGCUCUCACCUUCGACGCAGAUCACAGGGAUUUAAAUGUUAGGUUGAUUGGUGUUCAUGGAUCGAGUUUUGAUUUUGUAAAUGGCAGUUGAUGCAUUACAAAUGCCGGGUCUCGUCCGGGUUUGCCCGGGUCACCCGGGUCAUGGGUUGACCCGCCGGGUCGACCGGGUUUUGCCGGGUCGUUGCACCGGCCGGUCUUUUAACAAACCCGAACCGGUCCAGACACCGGGUCGACCCGCCGGUCCGGUCCGGGUUUAAUAACUAUGGUGGUGAGAUGUAAGAGUUGUUUGGAAACACGUUUCUUAAAAAAUUGAUUUUUUUUAAAAAAAUAU